rnacentral:rRNA from 1 species
UACGUAGGGUGCAAGCGUUGUCCGGAAUUAUUGGGCGUAAAGAGCUCGUAGGCGGCUUGUCGCGUCGACUGUGAAAUCCCGCGGCUCAACUGCGGGUCUGCAGCCGAUACGGGCAGGCUAGAGUUCGGUAGGGGAGACUAGAAUUCCUGGUGUAGCGGUGAAAUGCGCAGAUAUCAGGAGGAACACCGGUGGCGAAGGCGGGUCUCUGGGCCGAUACUGACGCUGAGGAGCGAAAGCGUGGGGAGCGAACAGG